rnacentral:rRNA from 1 species
UGGAUCCAGACUUUGAUUAUGGCUCAGGAUGAACGCUAGCGACAGGCCUAACACAUGCAAGUCGAGGGGCAGCGAAGAGGUAGCAAUACCUUUGUCGGCGACCGGCGCACGGGUGAGUAACACGUAUGCAAUCCACCUGUAACAGGGGGAUAACCCGGAGAAAUCCGGACUAAUACCCCAUAAGAUGGGCGCUCCGCAUGGAGAGCCCAUUAAAGAGAGCAAUUUUGGUUACAGACGAGCAUGCGCUCCAUUAGCCAGUUGGCGGGGUAACGGCCCACCAAAGCGACGAUGGAUAGGGGUUCUGAGAGGAAGGUCCCCCACAUUGGAACUGAGACACGGUCCAAACUCCUACGGGAGGCAGCAGUGAGGAAUAUUGGUCAAUGGUCGGCAGACUGAACCAGCCAAGUCGCGUGAGGGAAGACGGCCCUACGGGUUGUAAACCUCUUUUGUCGGAGAGUAAAGUACGCUACGUGUAGUGUAUUGCAAGUAUCCGAAGAAAAAGCAUCGGCUAACUCCGUGCCAGCAGCCGCGGUAAUACGGAGGAUGCAAGCGUUAUCCGGAUUUAUUGGGUUUAAAGGGUGCGUAGGCGGCACGCCAAGUCAGCGGUGAAAUUUCCGGGCUCAACCCGGAGUGUGCCGUUGAAACUGGCGAGCUAGAGUACACAAGAGGCAGGCGGAAUGCGUGGUGUAGCGGUGAAAUGCAUAGAUAUCACGCAGAACCCCGAUUGCGAAGGCAGCCUGCUAGGGUGAAACAGACGCUGAGGCACGAAAGCGUGGGUAUCGAACAGGAUUAGAUACCCUGGUAGUCCACGCAGUAAACGAUGAAUACUAACUGUUUGCGAUACAAUGUAAGCGGUACAGCGAAAGCGUUAAGUAUUCCACCUGGGGAGUACGCCGGCAACGGUGCAACUCAAAGGAAUUGACGGA